GGGAGACCUCAGUGUCAGAUCUUUCAUUUGAGCUACCAACAUCAUCUGAGAGCAUGGAAAUAAUUAUUGAUGUUGAUGCUGAUACUGACAUCGAUAUAAUCACUCCUGAAAGUUCAUACUCUGAUGCUGCUGACCCAGAUGUGCCAUCACUCAAACGAACUGACAGCAUAUUUCUUACCAGUGAAUACCUGCAGUCAAUCUCCAAGGUGGCUGACACACCAGAAGCUUCUGGAAGUUGUAUUGAAAGCACUGAUGAUGAAUAUAUUCCAUCAAAAGACUCAGGGAAUGAAAGUAGUUCAGAGG